rnacentral:tRNA from 1 species
GCCUGGCUGACUCAGUCAGUUGAGCAUCUGACUUCAGCUCAGAUUGUGAUCUCAUGUUCAUAGGUUCGAGCCUUGCGUCAGGCU